rnacentral:rRNA from 1 species
UACAGAGGGUGCAAGCGUUAAUCGGAAUUACUGGGCGUAAAGCGCGCGUAGGUGGUUUGUUAAGUUGGAUGUGAAAUCCCCGGGCUCAACCCUGGGAACUGCAUCCAAAACUGGCAAGCUAGAGUAUGGUAGAGGGUGGUGGAAUUUCCUGUGUAGCGGUGAAAUGCGUAGAUAUAGGAAGGAACACCAGUGGCGAAGGCGACUACCUGGCCUGUUCUUGACGCUGAGGCGCGAAAGCUAGGGGAGCAAACGGG